GGCAGUGUAGCCAAGUGGUUACGGCGUCACGUUUAGGUAUCACCAAUCACCGUGAUGGGUUUCCCGCGCGAGUUCGAAUCUCGUCACUGUCA
rnacentral:tRNA from 1 species